CCUACGGGAGACAGCAGUGAGGAAUAUUGGUCAAUGGGCUAAGGCCUGAACCAGCCAAGUCGCGUGAGGGAAGACGGUCCUAUGGAUUGUAAACCUCUUUUGUCGGGGAGCAACGAGGCCACGUGUGGCCGAAGUGAGAGUACCCGAAGAAAAAGCAUCGGCUAACUCCGUGCCAGCAGCCGCGGUAAUACGGAGGAUGCGAGCGUUAUCCGGAUUUAGUGGGUUUAAAGGGUGCGCAGGCGGAUUUUUAAGUCAGCGGUCAAAUCGUGGGGCUCAACCCCAUCCAGCCGUUGAAACUGGGGAUCUAGAGUGUGCGAGAGGUAUGCGGAAUGCGUGGUGUAGCGGUGAAAUGCAUAGAUAUCACGCAGAACCCCGAUUGCGAAGGCAGCAUACCGGUGCACAACUGACGCUCAGGCACGAAAGCGUGGGUAUCGAACAGGAUUAGAUACCCUAGUAGUC
rnacentral:rRNA from 1 species